GAGACUGAAAUGCAUUUCAAAGCCAGGCCUGAUUCGGGGUACAAGGAAGAACAGACCUAUGUGCAUUUUGUAGGAAGAAAACUGUGAAUGGAAAAAGGAGAAGGGGAGAGAAACGGGGGAAAUCUGGAUAAUACAUUAAAGUAACCAUAAUUUUGGAGAUGCAUUCAUCUUAUUGAAAAUAUAUUUCCUCAUGGUUGUGAUUCCUCUUCACUCUUUUGAAUUUGGAAGGAUGGCAUACACAUCUGAAAAAUACCACUACUUCCUUCAUUGGACUGCAAGGUAUUUCUGUUUGGAAAAGUAAUGGAGUCCAGUCAACUUCAUUGAUCGCCAAGGACUGUCAAAAUUAUAAAACUUGCUGUGGAGCUCUGACAUGCCAGAAGCCGCUAGAAAAAGAAGUUUGACAUUCAGAAACUUAUCAAGAGGUUCUACUCUUUGGAUAGAGACCAAAAUCAUACUUUGAAAAAGCCUGACAGGUUUCUUCGGAAAAGUGGCCAUCCAUGGAAUGAAUGAAAUGUUCUCUUUCUAUUCCAGGGAUUGCAGUGGCAAAGCUAGGCUAGGUCUUGGAGGCUGGUGUAAGGCGAUGUGGGUGAAGGCAGGAGGCUGAUGGAAAGACUGGGGGGAAGAAAAGCCGAAAUGGAUUCACGGUGCCUUGGAUGAAGGACGAGAGGGGAACUGCAAGCUCCUUCAACUGGUUCUGUCCGGUGAGAAGUGAUCAAGCUUGGGCUGACAAGAGGCUCAGGGAGCCCUCACGUUCUUUCGCUUUUUUACCUGCCAAUCAAACUGCUACAAGACAACACCCUGAUCUGGCAUGGACAUCGCGGGUCCAAGCCUGUAGCCCCAAAUCGGAUAAUCUCUGCAGCUGAUAACAAGCAAAAGAGAAGCCAGGCAACAGCCAUAUUAAAGAAGAAAACAAUCAACUCUGAGAUCCAACUUAGAAAUAAUGUUUCAUUCAAGAUAAGGCUCGUGGCUUAGGAGAUUGUGACCUGGCUUGCAUCAUUCUAAGACUUCUAUCGUCUGUUUUCAAAACCCAAGGAGGACCUCCUUUUCUGUGUGAUAGUUCCUCAUGCUUUGCCAGCCACUGGGUCUUUAAGGAAGCUUGCCAAGAGUUCCCGGCUGGGAAGGACAGUUCGAGUUCAUCAUAGACAAUGAGCUGGCACCACAGUUUAAGUGACUCACCAACCUGGUUGCCCACUUCAAAAUGUCAAGAACCACACUAUCUAAUUGAAAGAACUGUGUUUUAGCAAAGUGUAAUUGGAUCGCCUGGCAAGAUCAUCUCAAACUAUGUCUCUGACCUUGCCUUUCAGUGGCUAUUUUGAGCACAAGAGGAGAAAGGAAAUGAUUCCUGAAUUAUAUCUUGUUUUUAAAAAUUAAGAUUAAUUAAUACUUGGUUUUAUGUUCAUUCCAUUGUAGGAACUUAGUGAUUAUUACAAAACAGUCAAAAUAGGUCAUAGCAAAAUGAACGUUUAAGAUUAGGUUAAAACAUUCCUCUGAAAUUUUAGUAUUCACUUUUGAAGUGUCAAUUACUAUAUUUCUGUAAUUUCUCAUUUUUUUCUUGGCUUAGAGUCAAGAUGAAAAAUGAUAUUUGAAUCAAAGACAUUGUUUUGUUAUAUAGCCACUCCUUUCUAAAAUGCAAAUCCACCCUCCCCUCACCAAUGCUUUAUUCUUUGUGCGCGCACACACACACACACACACACACACACACACACACACACACAGACAUACACAGAACCAGCACCCAAAUGGUAGAGGAGGUCCUUCCAAGACUUCUAGGACCUGGAUCAUGUAAGCAGUAGAUGAGAAAAUGAAGUAAGAGAUAUAGAGUAAUAACAAUAAAAGUCAAUGAUUUCAUUUUACAAAAAAGUCAUUGUGUAGUACUCAGAUAUUUUUAAGAGCAAGUAUUAUUAUGACUAAAGUAUAUUAUACUUCUAAAUUAUUAUGAUUCUCAUCUAAUUUCAAGCCACACAUAGGCGCCAUUUGAAAGCAUUUUGUGUUACAACCUAUCAACAAAAAUCAACUAAUAGUUUUAUAACGUGCAUAGGUUUACCCCAUGGGGAAUUAAAAUUUUUAUCUGCAAGUAUUUCUGUUGUUGUGAGACUUUAGGACAAGACAACAUUUGGUGUUAACAUAGAAGAAUAUUCUAUGGCUUUUUUAGCUUUAAAGUUCAUUACUCUAAAAUAAAGUACACGUGGUAUUUUUUUCUUCCUAGUGUUCUCUUAUUAUAUGUAGAGUAUUUUCGGUUGUUGUUUUUAACGUAUACAUUAUUUUUAUUAAGUCAUUUCAUAAAAGAUAAGAUAUAUACUAAUAGACCCUUGGUUUUCUCCUAAUUUAAUUAUUUCAAGUCAAGCAAAAUUGGGCAAUUUUCUUUCAGGAAAAAAAAAAUAUUGAGCAUGAUUUUGAGGUAAAACUGAUUAUUUACAGCAUCUUUUCUCUAAUAGGCUAACAUUUAUGAUGGAUCUUAUUUCAAAGUUGAUUAUUCUCAAAGAAAAGUGGAGAUAUUAGAAUUUCCGAGUAAAUUGCAUUGUUUUAAAAAGUACUUUAAUGCAUUGUUCACAUUGUUGCCAGCUAUUGACCAAAAAAGAGAAGAAGAAAAAAGAAAUAAAAAAAGCAGUAUCUGCUCCAAACGUCAAGUUUUGCAGUUUGAAAGACUUGUACAUUAUAAUUGUUUUUUUCUUUUUUGGAAAGCAGUAGUAAUUAAUACCAAAGGCAUAGACAAUUUAGGGCCAUAACCUCCCUUCCCCCCUCUCCACCUUUUUUUUUUUUUUUUUUUUUUUUUAACUUUAACCAUGAUAGGCAUCUCUGCAAGGUAGGUUUUAACAUAUUUUUUUCCUAAUUUUUUUCCCUCCAUUCAGUAAGAAGGAUAAGCUUUUAGAGUACCCAGUCACCGUGGUAACUGCCAAAAAAAUUCUCCUGAAGUUUGAAGAGGUCAGCUAGCAGGGUCAACAACCCUGGCCUCUCUCUGAGCUCGGUCUAGCAUGCCCCAGCCUGCGGUUGGAGUGUCAGGCCAGAUCUGACCCUGGGAGGUGGACCAUUCUGGCUCUGAUAUAAAUUUUUCGAGUCAGUUCAUGGCCUGGACUCUCCAGGUGGCCUCCAAAAUCGAUUUUGACCCCCUGACCCUGUCUCACGGAGGCAUAGCAUCCACCCUAAGUAAGGAUUUAGCCAGGAAUGACAGCUUUCCACUGAGUGUUAUUGGGGACAGUAUAAACAGUUUGGAAAGCAAGUAAGGAGGUGUGAGGGCUAGCAAUCAUUAAAAGCACAUUAAAAAACAAUUUUUAAAAAUCUUUAUUAGAGAAAGUUGUAAAUGCAUAUCUGUUACAGAAUUCCUGUGAUUUGUAGAGUUUUCUAGUCAGUUUUGAAUAUAAAUAGGUCACAUAUCUUUAUCUUUUUGCAUACUUUGUUACAAAUAUGCAAAUAAGAUAGGCAUACUUGCUACAAAAUAGGUACAGCAGGAAUGUAAUAUGUUCAGAAAAGGCAAACUGGUUAUUAAAACACAUUAACAGGUAAGGAGUUUCUAAUAUUUUAAAUACUAAAAUUUUACAUGUGUAUUUUGAAGUUUUUAAAAUGGAAAAAUAAAGAACCUUUAAAAAACCCAACAGUGUGGAAUAAAGAUAAACUUGUUGCACUCAAGGUACAUUUCUACUUUGUAAAGCAAGAAGCCAAUACACUCAGUUGGAUAAAAAUGAGAGAAAAAUUGUAAAUAUAGAGAGUUACAGCUUAUAGAGCUGAAGAGGAAUAAAACAAAAAAAAGUGUCUCUGAAUAACUUUAUGUAUUUUCAACAGUUUAAGAUAUCAGAAACUUGGAAAAUAAAUAUGAUAUAUAUAUAAAUCAUCAGUGAUUAUUUCCUUUUCAUUCCCCCCCGCCCCCAGGAUGCCACCGUGAGUGUUUGAUUUUCUCUAGGAAAGUAGAAUUCUCUUUGAGAGUUCUAGCCUGUGAACUCAGUAUGUAAAUGUGGCCAUCAAGAAGACAGAACUGCCAAGAGGAAAGAUUAUGAAUGUUUUUCUUCCUUAAAACCAUUCACAGUGUUUCUUCUUCCAGUGCUUUACUCAGACUUCUCCCCUUUUCCCAGCUCUGUUGAAAAUGGCUUCAAAAGCAACACUGCAGUGGCUAAACCAAUUGUACUGUGAAGUUGUUGAGAUGCCAUUUCAUCUGAAUCCUUCGUAAAAAUUAGAUUUUUAAGUAGGGGUGAAUAUCCUUUUGGGAGAGGGAAUGGGAGGGUAGAAGAAGGGGGGAAAGGACAGAGCA
ensembl:lncRNA SOX2-OT SOX2 overlapping transcript